AGUGAACGCUGGCGGUAGGCCUAACACAUGCAAGUCGAACGGCAGCACAGUAAGAGCUUGCUCUUACGGGUGGCGAGUGGCGGACGGGUGAGGAAUACAUCGGAAUCUACUUUUUCGUGGGGGAUAACGAAGGGAACCUUACGCUAAUACCGGAUACGACCUACGGGUGAAAGCAGGGGAACUUCGGACCUUGCGCGAUUGAAUGAGCCGAUGUCGGAUUAGCUAGUUGGCGGGGUAAAGGACCACCAAGGCGACGAUCCGUAGCUGGUCUGAGAGGAUGAUCAGCCACACUGGAACUGAGACACGGUCCAGACGCCUACGGGAGGCAGCAGUGGGGAAUAUUGGACAACGGGCGCAAGCCUGACCCAGCCAGACCGCGUGUGUGAAGAAGGCGUUCGGGUUGUAAAGCCCUUUUGUUGGGAAAGAAAAGCAGCAGGUUAAUACCCCGCUGUUCUGACGGUACCCAAAGAAUAAGCACCGGCUAACUUCGUG
rnacentral:rRNA from 1 species